ACCUGGUUGAUCCUGCCAGUAGUCAUAUGCUUGUCUUAAGGAUUAAGCCAUGCAUGUCUAAGUAUAAGCCCCAGAACGGCUAGACUGCGAAUGGCUCAUUAAAUCAGUUAUAGUCUACUUGAUUGUAAGACUACUUGGAUAACCGUAGUAAUUCUAGAGCUAAUACAUGCACACGCCCCCGACUCUUUGGAAGGGGGGUAUUUAUUAGAGCGCAACCAACCUGGGCUUGCCCAGACACUGGUGAUUCAUGAUAACUUCUCGGAUCGCACGACCUAGCGUCGGCGACGUUUCAUUCGAAUAUCUGAUCUAUCAACUUGAUGGUAGUGUAGCGGACUACCAUGGUAAUAACGGAUAACGGGGAAUCAGGGUCCGGCUCCGGAGAGGUCGCCUGAGAGACGGCGACCACUUCCAAGGAAGGCAGCAGGCGCGCAAAUUACCCAAUCCCGACACGGGGAGGUAGCGACAAGAAAUAACAAUACAGGACCCGACAAGGGUCUUGUAAUUGGAAUGAACGAAAUUUAAAUCCCUCAGUGAGGAACAACUGGAGGACAAGUCUGGUGCCAGCACCCGCGGUAAUUCCAGCUCCAGUAGCGUAUAUUAAAGUUGCUGCAGUUAAAAAGCUCGUAGUUGGACUUCGGGAGGUAGCUAGCGCGGUCGGUCAGGUGACUUGCACCGUGCUGCGCCUCUCUCCUUGGGAAGACUUCCGCUACUCUUAACUGAGUGGUGGGCUCAAGCCUUCCCAUACUUUACCUUGAGUAAAUUAGAGUGUUUAAAGCAGGCGAUCUCGUCGUGAAUAUCAUUAGCAUGGGAUAAUAGAAUAGGACACUGGUCGUAUUCCGUUGGUUAGCGGCCAGUGUAAUGAUUAAUGGAAACGGUUGGGGCGGUUUAUAUUUAAUUGUCAGAGGUGAAAUUCUUGGAUUUGUGAAAGAUAAACGUAUGCGAAAGCGUUCCGCAAGGACGUUCUCAUCAAUCAAGAACGAAAGUUAGGGGAUCGAAGACGAUCAGAUACCGUCGUAGUCUUAACCAUAAACUAUACCGACCAGGGAUUGGGCAGUGUUACAUGGAUGACUUGCCCAGCACCUCCAGAGAAAAUCACAAGUUUUUGGGUUCUGGGGGGAGUAUGGUCGCAAGGCUGAAACUUAAAGGAAUUGACGGAAGGGCACCACAGAUUGAGCCUGCGCUAUUUGACUUCACCACGGAAACUCACCAGGUCCAGACAUAGUAAGGAUGACAGAAUGAUAGCUCUUUCUUGAUUCUAUGGGUGGUGGUGCAUGGCCGUUCUUAGUUGGUGGAGUGAUUUGUCUGGUUAAUUCCGUUAACGAACGAGACCUCAACCUACUAAAUAGAUGGGCAAACUGCCUGAUCGGUGAAGGCGCCUCGGACUCUGUUGCUAACGCGGCAGAGCUUGGGCGUUGGAUCCUUGGCACGUUUGCUUAUUAUCUUCUUAAGGGGACUAUUUGUCGAAUAGCGAAUGGAAGUUUGAGGCAAUAACAGGUCUGUGAUGCCCUUAGAUGUCCUGGGCUGCACGCGCGCUACACUGUUCGCACCAACGAGUUUACCACCUUGGCCGAAAGGUCUGGGUAAUCUUCUGAAAUGCGAACGUGAUGGGGAUAGAUCAUUGCAAUUAUUGAUCUUCAACGAGGAAUUCCUAGUAAGCGUUUGUCAUCAGCAAACGCUGAUUACGUCCCUGCCCUUUGUACACACCGCCCGUCGCUCCUACCGAUUGAAUGAUCCGACGAGGUCUUCGGAUCUGGGCGCACAGCUGCAGGAGCAAUCUUGUAGCAGCGUCUGGAGAAGUUGAACAAGUCUUAUCAUUUAGAGGAAGGAGAAGUCGUAACAAGGUCUCCGUAGGUGAACCUGCRGAAGGAUCA
rnacentral:rRNA from 1 species